rnacentral:tRNA from 1 species
GUGGUUGUGGCUCAGUGGUAGAGCGCUUGCCUAGCAUGCAUGAGGCAUGGGGUUUGAUCCUCCGCUCCACA